rnacentral:rRNA from 1 species
GAUGAACGCUGGCGGCAUGCUUUACACAUGCAAGUCGGACGGGUAGUGGUGUUUCCUGUGGCGGCCGGGUGAGGUACGCGUUAGAAACUGCCCUUGGGAGUGGGACAACAGCUGGAAACGGCCUCUUAUAACCCGUAGGCAUCGCAGCGUCAGGGGGAAUUCGCCCGAGGAUGGGCGCGCGUCUGAUUAGCUAGUUGGUGAGGUAAUAGCUUACCAAGGCCGCGAUCCGUAGCUGGUCCGAGAGGAUGAUCAGCCACACUGGGACUGAGACAAGGCCCAGACUCCUACGGGAGACGGCAGUGGGGAAUUUUCCGCAAUGGGCGAAAGACUGACGGAGCAAUGCGGCGUGGAGGUAAAGGGGCUACGAGGCAUGAACUGCUUUUCCUGGAGAAGAAACAAUGACGGUACCUGGGGAAUAAGCAUCGGCUAACUCUGUG